GGCUUAAGAAAAUAUCCAGACAAAAUGUAUUAUUUCACAAAGGUGCCCUAGAGAAAUCUCCGUGCUUAGUUAUCACCAAUAUUUUAAUUCAAACAAUCUACAUCACAUAUGGCCAUUAUGACAGUGGAAAUGUUCUAGCAGAGCAUUCCAACCACUCUUCUAUCCCCCCGGAGACAGGAAAUGCUUAGGUGUCUGCAGUUCUUUGAGGACAAAUGGAAAGAGCACUGCCUGCCUUUCUGAGGGGGCGCUGGCUCAUUUCGGGUGGGUUAUUUCCCUGGCAGCCGUUUGUACUUCCAAUACGCUGAAGCAUCUCCAUCCGAUUCUGAUGUCUGUCCUUAUCUCUCAGGUGGUCAGGAGGGUUUCUACAAUCUUUUAUUAAGAUAAGGAGAUACACUGAAAACAUCUUGCAGCUGCUAAAUGACUCAGCCUGAAACAUUUUGAAAUAUGUGUGUAUGUGUGUGUGUAUGUGUGUGUGUAUACACAGUUUCUUCAUCCAUUCAUCUGUACAUGGACACUUAUUUUGUUUCCACAUCUUGGCUAUUGUGGAUAUGCUACAAUGAACAUGGGGUGCAGAUAUCAUUAAGAAGUUAUUCCAUAUACUUUGGUUAUAUACUCAGAAAGAGAUUGCUGAGUCAUAUAAGGGAUCUUAAUGCAAAUACGCUUUAAAGGCAUUUCAUUAAAUUCUAAUGAUAUGAUCGACAUCUAUACAACAAUAACAAAACUAAAGUCAGACUUCAAGGUACUAUGAUGUGACUUUACAUGAAGUUUCUCUACAACCCAAAAGAAAAAAAAAUGAACUGCAUACUAUUAUUAUUUUUUGACUGUUAAAUAAACAAAUAAAAUAUUCCACAAAACUAGAAAA